rnacentral:rRNA from 1 species
UACGAAGGGGGCUAGCGUUGUUCGGAAUUACUGGGCGUAAAGGGCGCGUAGGCGGCCCGCUAAGUCGAACGUGAAAUCCCCGAGCUCAACUCGGGAACUGCGUCCGAUACUGGUGGGCUUGAAUCCGGGAGAGGGAUGCGGAAUUCCAGGUGUAGCGGUGAAAUGCGUAGAUAUCUGGAGGAACACCGGUGGCGAAGGCGGCAUCCUGGACCGAGAUUGACGCUGAGGCGCGAAAGCCAGGGGAGCAAACGGG